rfam:Streptococcus dysgalactiae subsp. dysgalactiae ATCC 27957 chromosome, whole genome shotgun sequence.
AAUGAUAGUUUAGUCGCUUUUCAUUAUAGGUCAUAUGGGACUUUUUGUCUGCACUCAAAAAGCCCUAUAACCUCUGUGUCGGAUUUACCAACUACAGAUAUUAUAGAGCC